rnacentral:rRNA from 1 species
AUUGAACGCUGGCGGCAGGCCUAACACAUGCAAGUCGAGCGAGCGGCGGGCGGGUGAGUAAUGUCUGGGAAACUGCCCGAUGGAGGGGGGGAAAUACUGUCAACGGUAGCUAAUAUCCCAUACCAUCUUAUGUGCCCAGAUGGGAUUAGCGAGUAGGGGGGGUAAUGGCUCACCCAGGCGACGAUCCCUAGCUGGUCUGAGAGGAUGACCAGCCACACUGGAACUGAGACACGGCCCAGACUCCUACGGGAGGCAGCAGUGGGGAAUAUUGCACAAUGGGCGCAAGCCUGAUCCAGCCAUGCCGCGUGUGUGAUGAAGGCCUUCGGGUUGUAAAGUACUUUCAGCAGGGAGGCGUUACCCGCAGAAGAAGCACCGGCUAACUACGUGCCAGCCGCCGCGGUAAUUC